rnacentral:ncRNA from 2 species
ACUUUUGCCUCAGUUUUGGGUGUCAGAAGCUCUCUUCGGGAGCUUCGACUUAAUAGGGAAUCAUGUGUAAAACAUGAGCUGUCCCCGCAACUGUAAGUUGUCAAAACCUGAACCACAAGCCACUGCUUCGGCGGGAAGGCAAAUUCAGGUGACAAUGAGCCAGGAGACCUGCCUGAAAUCAUUCUUGUUG